rnacentral:lncRNA from 1 species
GCUUUCUUCCAUCUGCAAAAGCUGAGAUGGAGAAGGAGAGACACACAAGUUUACAAUUGAAUAAGCUGCUUCCUGAGUGAGAGGUAGAUGCACCAGAUUUACCAAUGAAUAAACUGCUCCAUUAGGCACUAUUUUUCUUUUCUUUCCAAGUGACUGCUGCUCUUCUCUAGUGUAGUUCUCCAGGGCUCACCAAUUUUGUUAGACUGAACCUGAUUUGUAUAUUUGUAUGCAGAUUUCUCAACACUCAGAUUUAUGGAGUCUAAGGUUUGACAUUUAGGGGACUAUGGAUCUUUGGCUUUUGGUGUUGAGAUUGAUGUGCCCCUCGCUAUAUGUAAGUGGUGCUUAUGAUGUCGAUCCUUCUGCUAUGGAUUGUAGUUGGGCUUCACUGCCAUCGCAUUAAUACUAUUGAUGGCAGUGUCCCUGCUGUUGAGAAACCCAUUACGUCAGUUUUGGUGGUAUUUUUGCAUUGCCACUUAUCAAUUGUUUUAUUAUUGUUCUUGUCAAAUAGUUGUAUGCUUGAUAAUUGUUGAUGAUAUCUUAUGGUUGGAAAAGAAAUGUAUUUUUGGGCAAAAUGUCCACAUUCUUACAUAGGUCCAUUGUGGUCCCCUUCGUAGCCUGUUGGUUCUAUUUUUAUCAUAUAUCUUUUUUGUUCUAAGUGUUAAUUGUUGAGUGUCAACGACAUGUGGAUAUUGUUCUUCAGGUUAUUAUGGCUGAAACUUGGAUAAAACUAUGGGCAUACAAAAUACAUAUUUGUUUUUGUUGCCUUAUAAACAUGGUUGUGAACGAACUGAAUAUUGGCAAACAUGUAUAUAUCCAUUUUCACUUACUUUGUUGUUUCUGAAAGUGAAAGGGACAAAGGAUAGCGCAGAGAGCAGAGAACACAUGGGGUAUGUUGAAAUUUUUGGUCGAAUUUACAGUCCAUUAGCUGUCAUAAAUAUAUCACAACUAGCAUGCGUACAUCCUCACAACAUUGAUGAAGAUAUGCUUGAUAACUACUCCCUCCGUCCCAUAAUAUAUGAUGUUUUUUGACACUAAGGGAGGGAGUAACUAACAAGAUCUGAUUAUUCGUUUCAUAAACGUUUACAAAAAAUAAGUACGGAAUAAAUUUUUAUAGACUAAAUUUCUAGUUCUUGUGCAAGCUGAUGAGGUUUUCUAUACCUGUAGAAGCCUUGUUCCUACUAUUCUCACCUUGUACACAUAUAUAGCAUUGUUCCUACUAUUGUAACCUUGUAUACAUACAUACUGGUUCAUUUUUUUUGUGAGAAAAGGUUCAUUUGAUUAUUGUUUACUAUUAGAAAUAAUGGUACUAUGCUGGUCAAGUGGGCACAUUGUAUACAUAUAUGCUUUUCUGUCUAUCCUUGAACUAAUACAAAAGAAGCAUGAUCAUUUCAAGCUGCACUUUCCUGAAGAAAACCGACAAACUAUAUCAUAUUUUCUGUUAAUAUUUUCCAUGCCAUUUGAAGUUCGCUUGGCAAGCAAGUAUUGUUUACUAUUUAUCAUCCUUUUGAGAUAUAUGUUCCUUUGGGAGGUGUCUAUUAUGUAGUGUAAUUCUUUGUGUUUUGGAUUCUUUGCAGGUUUGGCAUUUAGUUCGUGUUACUAUUGACCGAGGCUUUUUACCAGGAAUUACUUGGGUCUAAAAAGCUUCCUGGAAGUGGUGGUGUAGUGUUGGAGAUUAAAAUCAUGUAGUUGUGCAGUUUCAAUGAUGUUAUGUUACUUGUUUUUUAUUAAAUGCUUAUGCUUAUAACACCUUGUAAAUAUGCUUGUGAUGUUUUCAUAUUAAUUUUACUUUUUGAAAUCAGACCAGAUUGUUGGAAAUUUCUAUUGUCUUGUUGAAUGAAUAUAAUUGCAUGUCUUGUUGUAAAUUAUGAUGCAUU